rnacentral:rRNA from 1 species
GACGAACGCUGGCGGCGUGCUUAACACAUGCAAGUCGAACGAUGAAGAGGGGCUUGCUCCUUGGAUUAGUGGCGAACGGGUGAGUAACACGUGAGUAACCUGCCCUGGACUCUGGGAUAACCCCGAGAAAUCGGAGCUAAUACCGGAUAGGACCUGGAACCGCAUGGUUUUGGGUGGAAAGUUUUUCGGUCUGGGAUGGA